CCUUUUUAAGCCCAGGAAGAUCAGCCUUGAACACAUGAGCUUCUGGCGUCUCUUUCCAGUCUAUACGAGUGUUAACAAAGGCAGUAUUAUCACGAGAGAUGAUUGAAGAUGAAGAAGGAAAUGGGAAGUCUUUGAAUGGAUCCCACAGGUCGAAAGCAUUCAAAGGAUCGAAAAUGCUGUUACGUGGGUUACCGAAGAAGCUUGGAAUCAUGGCCAUUUUAUAUUGCUGAAAUGGGGUUUUUGCUACAGAAAUUUAUGGGUUUGAUUGGUUGCUGUGAAUUGCUUGUUUUCCUUGGUUAACGGGAGAGAAGGAAGGUCUUAGUUAUAGUAAGCAGGAGAUAUAUCUGGUGAUUUCUCGCGUAAUCCUAUUGCGCUUUCAUCACGUAGCUUCCCGAACCUUCAAGAAAGCUUUAACCUGAAGAUCCGGAGUUGGGUUAUAUUCUGGUAAAUUCUUGAAAGCUCUUGGAGUCAAAUAUGGGUCAGCUUCAGCUCUGAACUGCACUUUUGAAGUCCAAGCCACGGCAUAAAGAAUGGGCCUUGCGCUCCUAAGUAAAAUUAAAAUCAAGAUCAAUGAGACCCAAACAAAACAUAUUACGAGGUGCCAUGUAUUAAGUUUAGAGUUGUGACUAUCAAAAUAAUUUAGAAAUUUUCACACUCAAUCAAUACAGUAUUAUUAAUUUGAAGUUAAAUGUAAAACUCACUAUUCCAUUCUGUCUAAUAAUUUUUAUUUAUUUUAUUUUUUUAUAUAUAUUAAAAAAAUAAUUUUUUAUUCACUUCUUAAUUAUAUUUAUUUUAAAAAUAUUAAUUUUAUUAAAUACUAAAAAAUAUAGUAAAAAAUUUUUAAAUAGAGUUAUAUUAUUGUAAUAGUAUAAAAAAAUAAUAAUUUUAAAAUAAUUUUUAAAAAAAACAAGAUUAUGGAAUAAUUUUAAUUAAUAUGUUAUCUAUUUAUUACUGGUAAAAGUUUUUUAAAUAACUUAAGUCGGUGUCGUUUGGCUUUCACUUAAAAUAAUGUUAUUUUGCUUUUUGUUUAUUACUAAUGUGCAACAUCUAAUAACAGUUGAAUCAAAUCAAUUCUAUGUAAUUUUUCUCAAUUUUUCAUUUGUAUUAUUUUAUUAAAAAUUAAUUUAUUUUGUUAUUAAAUUAUUUUAAACUAAUAUAUUCUUUUUAUGUAUAUUAGAUAUAUAUAUAUUGUGAAUAAAUAAAUUAUUAAAUCAAAAUAAAAAAUAGUUUAUAAUUUGACAUAAAUAAAAAAAAAAAAAAAGACUUUUCUUCAAGACUGCAGGAGUGAAAUUUUCAAUUUGGAUGAACUUAGAUGAGUAGAUUCUUUUUAAAAAAUUAUAUAAGCGCUUUUGUGAUUUUUUUCCCCCCAUUUCAUAGUAACAUGUUGGAUCAAGUUUUCACAAAUCAGCAUAUGCUAUUAAAACUAAAUUUCAUGGACUAUUUUUUUAAUCAUUUGUGUACAAGACCCUACAGCUGAAGAACGAUCAUGAUCUCUUUAUGUUGUCGACUUUUAUUCCUUCCACCUCAAUUUUUUUUAUAGAGAAUUUAUUCAAUGUAAUUAUUAAUAAAUAUAAUGAUUAUAACUUCUGUUGGCUCAGGCAAAUUGAAUUUUGCGUGAAAAGAGAAGCCCUUGCAGUGGAGAAUGGUGCCUAACUCGAGCAUAGGACUUGGCUGGCCCUGGAAUGGGCAAGCAACACCUUCUUUUCCAUCUUGCUUUCCCCUGUCUGCAAUUCAGAGAAAUCCAAGUCUUGCAAUCGAAGAAACGAACUUGUCUAGAGUUCCUAUUGAGGAAUUUUAGACAUGGGCCGGCAUAGAUUCUACCAUUAUCACCUUUGGCAUGCAGGCCUCAUUUUCACACUGCAUCUGAUGAUUUCAUUUUUUUUUCUUCCCUCUCCGUCUCCCUUCUUAUUGAAAACACAGGAGAAUCGACAAAUUACAUCACCCACUGCAUAUUCAUGGAUGCCCAUCAUUUCCAAGUCACCCCUUUUCAAGGGACAGGCUUUUUCAUUAUAAGGCAAAAAUCUGGAGUUUCAAAAUUAUUAUUAUUAAUUUGAAGGUACUGCCAAAUGAAUUUUGAGAGAAAAUUAGAGAGAUAUUGGAUCAAUACUAUUAUAUGUUGAUAAUCUUUUAAUAUAGUUAUACAUCACAAACUGCUCAGAGAAUCCCAAAGGCACACAAACACCAUUAUUUCUACAUAUCUUGCCACACAUAUAUAUAUAUAUAUAUAUAUAUCCAUAGCAUGCCGUUAAUCAACCAGAGAUUUCAAUGGCUUUGACAUCAGGCUUCUUCACCUCCUCCUUAGGAACCGUCACUGUGAGAACCCCAUUCUCCAUUGAGGCCUUAACCUGAUCCAUCUUCGCAUUCUCCGGCAGCCUGAACCUCCUCAAGAAUUUGCCACUGCUGCGCUCCACACGAUGCCAAGUAUCAUUCUUCUCUUCCUUCUCCACAUUCCUCUCUCCGCUGAUUUGGAGCACUCUGUCAUCUUCAACCUCCACUUUCACUUCCUCCUUUUUAAGCCCAGGAAGAUCAGCCUUGAAGAUAUGAGCUUCUGGCGUCUCUUUCCAAUCUAUACGAGUGUUAACAAAAGCGGUAUUUUCAUGAGAGACGAUUGAAGAGGAAGAAGGGAAUGGGAAGUCUUUGAAUGGAUCCCACAGGUCGAAAGAAUUGAAUGGAUCGAAGAUGCUGCUUCGUCGGUUACCGAAGAAGCUUGGAAUCAUCGCCAUUUUGUAGUGCUGGAAUGGGUUAUGUAACAGAGAUUAAUUGGCUUGAUAGGUUGCUCUGAAUUGCUUUGCUUGUUUUCUAU
rnacentral:lncRNA from 1 species